rnacentral:misc_RNA from 1 species
AACUGAUACUACCUGCGGGAACCUGCGGAAGGAUCAUUACCGAGUUUACAACUCCCAAACCCCUGUGAACAUACCACUUGUUGCCUCGGCGGAUCAGCCCGCUCCCGGUAAAACGGGACGGCCCGCCAGAGGACCCCUAAACUCUGUUUCUAUAUGUAACUUCUGAGUAAAACCAUAAAUAAAUCAAAACUUUCAGCAAUGGAUCUCU